rnacentral:lncRNA from 1 species
UCACCUCCUUCCUACACCAGCACUCCAGCCAGAAGGACCUCCGUAAUAUGGCCAAGAUACACCCAGGAAUCUGCCACCAUCCCAGCAACUUUUCCAGAAAAUGCAACUGCUCAUCUGAGGUCCACACAUGCUCUGCCUGCCUCCACGUGCCUGGCGAGUCUGACUGGUUUGACAGACGCUUCGACAGUACCGUUGAACCCCUACAGAGGCCACAAGAUCCCACGUCCAAUGAUGCUCUGAUAUUGUGGCUGGGACUCGAGAGGGUCAAGUCAGAGAAGGAGGUUGAGAAUAAGCAGCAGCAGCUGAUUAAAGCACCUCCCCUGUGCCCACUGGGCCAUGUGGUGUCCAACUGCCGGGUCUGUGCAGUGGUGGGAAACUCAAGGUCUCUAUGGAGCUCUGGCCUUGGCUUCAGGAUUAAUCAACAUGAAGUGGUCCUCAGGAUGAACCAGGCCCCUGUCUGAGGCUUUGAGGCAGAUGUGGGGAACAGGACCACCAUGCGCGUUAUGUACCCUGGGAUUGCCAGCCCUCAGGACCCCGGUACCCAACUGCUGCUGCUUCCGUUGAAUUCAUCUGGUCUGGAGUGGUUCAUAAGUGUACUGCAUAAACAGACAAGCAUGUGGAAGCAAAAAAAACCCUGGAUU